rnacentral:rRNA from 1 species
AUACGUAGGGGGCAAGCGUUAUCCGGAUUUACUGGGUGUAAAGGGAGCGUAGACGGUAAAGCAAGUCUGAAGUGAAAGCCCGCGGCUCAACUGCGGGACUGCUUUGGAAACUGUUUAACUGGAGUGUCGGAGAGGUAAGUGGAAUUCCUAGUGUAGCGGUGAAAUGCGUAGAUAUUAGGAGGAACACCAGUGGCGAAGGCGACUUACUGGACGAUAACUGACGUGGAGGCUCGAAAGCGUGGGGAGCAAACAGGAUUAGAUCCCCGGGUAGUCCACGCCGUAAACGAUGAAUACUAGGUGUUGGGGAGCAAAGCUCUUCGGUGCCGUCGCGAACGCAGUAAGUAUUCCACCUGGGGAGUACGUUCGCAAGAAUGAAACUCAAAGGAAUUGACGGGG